GCAAGUAUCUUUUUUGAAUAAUGACUUAUUUUUCUCUGGGUAGAUACUGUGGAGGAAAAGUUAAACAUUAAAUUUGAACUCAGUUGAACAUGGACACAAACAAUGGUCACCAAGUACUGGAACAGGUUGUGUGAGCCCCUCGAGGCAUUCAUCCAGCUCUGCUUCCGAGAAAUCUCUAUUUCAAUCUAUUCCUAUACGUUAGUUAUUGAAAAACAAGUUGACCUUUUUGUGUUCCUUGAACUCAGUCUCCAAGGGCCCUCGUGACUGGGCCUCAUGUCAAAAAAACUUGUUACAAAAAGAGCCAGGGUCCCAGACUGUGCCCAAGCUUCAUGAGACCUCUCCUUGUCUGUGCAGGGACCGGUGGCCCACUCUGGAGCCCAGGCUGUUGCUUCCCAGUCUGGUGGUGAAUCCUCCAUAGUUUGGUGAACUGAGGAGAUGGCAAACUUCAGAUGGAGCACGUAUAAAGUAGUGGAAAUUUCAUUAGCCUGGAUUACUGAGUUGCUGCAAAAAGAAUGGUUUCCCUGGUAAGCUGCUUAGCACCUCAGACAACUUUACAGAAGCUAAAAAUAAGCUUUUACUGUAUAACUACCAAUGGUUUGUCGUUCUUUACUACCUCAAUAUAUAUUCUAGGUUUUCAUGAGGAAUAAAUGUUCAUGUCACCUAUCUUGACUAGUAAAAAAUUCAGUCAUUUUCUAGAAUUUCAAAACGUGUCUAGAGUAUUAUACUUCUUUUGAAACAGUUUUGAUGUUGUCUAACCACAUAUGGUUAAAUGGAAAUCCUUGAGGACAAAUUCUGCAACUUACGUCCUUCUGCCAACUUUGAGAAUGAUUUUCUCAAUGUAUUCAACCCCAUCUGUUGAUCUGGGUUUGUUAAGCAUCCCUGAUACCUGUGACUAAGGCAGGAAGUUUGAUCAGAUGCCAUUGCCCUUCUGCCACACCAAACAUUGGGAAGACAUCUGCCAAGGUGAAUGCCUUAAAUCCCAAGAUUUUAUAGCUUCAAUGAGAAGACAAAUGAAAGGAAGUGAUUUUGGUCAGUUUACCCCUGCUUGUCCUUAAGGUAAGUGUAAAUUUUAGGUAAUUUAUCUAGGCAGAAAUUGUUGCAUGAGAUGAGAUGCUCUCCUCACAUCCUCCAAUAAUUAGUUGAGAAACGUACUAUCACAAAGUGGCUUGUGGCCUGAAGUGCUGCAGCUACUAGUGGAAAGUUGUUGUAGAGUCUCCAGAAUCUUACAUGUCUGCAAAACAUUUUCACUCACUCCUUUGAGUUGCUACUUGAGUGCUUCCUACAGCAAUCUUCUGCACCAAUCACACCUUUUGUGGUUCUCUUACUACUAAUGUUCUUUUGGGUGCUACUGAAAUGACUAGCUUGAGGUCUUCAUUUUAUAGCUUGCCAGAUUAAAUUAUCUGCAAUUUAUCUGAUAUCCUGGAACCUACGGUGUAAUUAUCACACAUUUUGAUGACCAGAACUUUUAGAAAUCUGGCUCCAGGUCAAAAGCCUGUGUGUGAUCUUUCAGGUCUGACUACAGGUAAUUAAAAAGACCUUAACUGGAAAGCCUCAUGAGGGACAGCUGUCUUCCUCACAUCAGGCUUGGUGCACAGCCAGUGCACUGCAGUCUCUGGAGAGAACUGCAGUCAAAGACUCAAGCCACCUGCCCACCUCAAGCCAGGCAUGCUCAUACUGUAUAUAGGCAUUCCUACCUCAAGAACUUCAUCUCUGAGGUUUUUGUUUUUUUCACAAGGACACCUCCACCAAGGCAUUUUUCAGGCAACUUUGCCUACACUUUCUUACCGGGGGCAUUUGACUGAGAUACUGUGUGUCACACUAACUCAGUGUUUUUCCAGUCCUAGGUCUCCCCCUUUCAGGAUCCUCAGCCACCGGGGUCCAUAAAACUGCAAAAGAAUUUCGUUCAGGGCUCCUCCACAGUGAGGUAUUUCUCACGCCUGAAUUGCGUGUCAUCUGAGUGAUCUGUGCCUGAUAUCAUUCCUUGGAGAAAAACAAAACAUUUGGGAUAUGACACAUUUUUAUUUGCCUCUUGCCUCCACCAUCACAGUAAAUGAAUAAAAAUUUGAUUGUUACUUUUACUUUACUUCACUGCCCUAAUUAACCACCAUGACACCUGGCAGAUCAGCAAACUUUUUCAGAUGUUUUCUUCUGGGUUUAGAAAGAGGAAGACUGAGUGCUCCACCAUUUUCACUGCUUCUUUAUCCUCUCUCUUACUACUUCUGUAAGAAAAAGCAAAACAAUGGCAACAACAAAAAACACAUACAAAUAGAAAGAGCCAGCAGUUACAUUCCUCAUGACCCAAAAAGAAAAUCUCUACAGAAUAACAGAGUCCAAAUAACUAUACUAUUAUACAUACAAAGACUUCUAUAUGCCAAUCAGAGCAUCCAUUUAAAAGUUGGCAUUUGUUGAGAAUUCACUAGUGUUUGCUGUUUCUCUGUGAAUCUCAUCAGUUAACCAUGUAAAUUGAGGUGUGUAUUUUUCAGCGAAAGACUCUGUUUCUGAAAUUACUAGGACAGAAUUGCUUAUCAUAUCUAGCUAAAAUCAGCUUUACUCUUUUGGAACUCUCUAAGUGGAUGCAUACAUUGACAAAUUCAGGUGAAACUGAAUGAUAACUUAAAGAGAUACAAAUGAUAGCUUAAAGAAUCGUAAAACCUGUGAAGAAAGUGUACUGCAAUCACAAAUGUAUUGGGUAGGUUUAUAUUCAAAGACAAAGGAGGAAGUAGCAGGGUGAGAUCUGUAUGCAUGUCUCUGGGAAUGUUUUGUUCAGUUUCCAUGUUGCUAAUGUACCAACAUUAGUAAACCAAAUAUGACUUACAUUUAAGUAAUAUUUUUAAAAUGAGUGGAUGAAAGAAGGAAAUUGGUACAUAUUGAAACUACGAUAGCCUAAUAUGAUUACUUCUCUUAGAAUUAACUUUUUUCUUGACAUAAAAAUCAUUCCCUAUUGUUCCUCUGAAAUGAUUAUUAGAAAGUAUUAAAAUGUAAAACACUAUUUCCAUAUCAAGAAAUGUGGCUUUAUUAUGGAAUCUUAUGUUAAAAGAGAGGUCAUAAAACAUUAUUUGGUGUGAAAUAAUAUUUGCAAAAUUGGUUCAAAAAGGGCAAUUCAAUAACAUUAAAGAUGUGUGGAAAAUACA